GACGGAAGGUGCAAGCGUUGCUCGGAAUCACUGGGCGUAAAGGGUGCGUAGGCGGGUCUUUAAGUCAGGGGUGAAAUCCUGGAGCUCAACUCCAGAACUGCCUUUGAUACUGAAGAUCUUGAGUUCGGGAGAGGUGAGUGGAACUGCGAGUGUAGAGGUGAAAUUCGUAGAUAUUGGGAAGAACACCAGUGGCGAAGGCGGCUCACUGGUCCGCAACUGACGCUGAGGCGCGAAAGCGUGGGGAGCAAACAGG
rnacentral:rRNA from 1 species